CCCGCAACGAGCGCAACCCUUGUCUUUAGUUGCCAGCAUUUCGGAUGGGCACUCUAAAGAGACUGCCGGUGACAAACCGGAGGAAGGUGGGGAUGACGUCAAAUCAUCAUGCCCCUUAUGUCUUGGGCUACACACGUGCUACAAUGGUCGGUACAAAGGGCAGCGAGACCGCGAGGUGGAGCGAAUCCCAAAAAGCCGAUCCCAGUUCGGAUUGCAGGCUGCAACCCGCCUGCAUGAAGUCGGAAUCGCUAGUAAUCGCAGGUCAGCAUACUGCGGUGAAUACGUUCCCGGGCCUUGUACACACCGCCCGUCACACCACGAAAGUUGGUAACACCCGAAGCCGGUGGCCUAACCGCAAGGAGGGAGCUGUCGAAGGUGGGAUCAAUGAUUGGGG
rnacentral:rRNA from 1 species